rnacentral:rRNA from 1 species
UACAGAGGGGGCAAGCGUUGUUCGGAAUUACUGGGCGUAAAGGGCGCGUAGGCGGCCUUCUAAGUCGAACGUGAAAUCCCCGGGCUCAACCCGGGAACUGCGUCCGAUACUGGAAGGCUUGAAUCCGGGAGAGGGAUGCGGAAUUCCAGGUGUAGCGGUGAAAUGCGUAGAUAUCUGGAGGAACACCGGUGGCGAAGGUCGG